rnacentral:rRNA from 1 species
UUACAUCAAAAUAUCAUUCUACUAAUAUCAAAAUAAAAAUAAUUUAUAAAUAAUCUUCAUAAUCUAAAAAAUUUACUACCGUAAGGGAAAACAAAAUAAAUUAAAGUAGUUUUAAACAAACAUACCUUGUGCAUAAUGGUUUUACAAGAACAAAUUUUAUAAUUUACUCCCGAAUUCUUCAUGAGCUGAUUUUUUAAUGACAAGACCUAAUUACUAGUUGUGUCAAAAACUUUAAAAUAUAAAAAAUCAGAGGCUACAUACCAACCGCAUAAGAAAAUCUCUGGUUUCCAUAAAAAUUUAUAUAUUAAAUCAACUAUAUAAGCUAUUAUAUAGUAUGUUAGAUAAUAGAGGACAAGCCCUAUUAUACAAUCCAUAAAACCAAAUUUAAAUAAAAAAGUAGGCUUAAAAACAGCCAUCAUAAAUACGUCACAGUAAAAACCAUAAUAUAAUUUAUAUAAUAAAAUGACAGAUAUAAAUGGAUAAAUACACAAACCCAAUGUAUUAUAACUAUGUAAAAACAAGUAUUCAUUAUAUUAAUUAUAGACUAUCAAGAAAUAAAACAACUCAUAAAUAAUUAAAACUUUAUUAAGAAACUCGGCAAAUACCUAUUUCGACUGUUUACCAAAAACAUUGCUUCUUGAAUAUAAUAAGAAGUAAUCUCCUGCCCAGUGAAAACUAUUUUAACGGCCGCGGUAUCCUAACCGUGCAAAGGUAGCAUAAUAAUUUGUCCAUUAAUUGUGGACUAGAAUGAAUGGGGUAACGAAAUAAGAUCUGUCUCAAUAAAGCACAUAUAAACUAAUAUCCAAGUGAAGAAGCUUAGAUAAUAUUAAAGGACAAGAAGACCCUAUAGAGCUUUAUCUUUUUAUGUUUAAACAAACAAAGAUUGGGUUGGGGCGACCAUGGAUAAAUCAUCCAUAAUUAUUAAGACAAACUAGUCAAUCAAUAGAUCCUUUUAAGAUCACAGAAUCAAGCUACCUUAGGGAUAACAGGCUAAUCCUAUUAAAGAGCUCUUAUCGACAAUAGGGAUUGGCACCUCGAUGUUGGCUUAGAAUAUCUUUACGGCGCAGAAGUCAUAAAAAGAAGGUUUGUUCAACCUAUAAUAUUCUACAUGAGCUGAGUUCAGACCGGCGUAAGCCAGGUUAGUUUCUAUCCUUAAUAUCAAUAUAAAUUUACAGUACGAAAGGACCUAAAUUUUAUACUAAAUAUAAAAAAUAAAUAAAUAUAAU